CUGCUAACGCGGGGGUCCUGCGUAGCACGGUGCUGGAGGUCCGUGCCACGUGGGUGAGAAAUACCCUUUGAACCUGAUCUGGAUAAUGCCAGCGCAGGGAAGCGUACGGAUUUCGCAC
rnacentral:ncRNA from 1 species